UCUCUCUCUCUCUCUCUCUCUCUCUCUCUCUCUCUCUCUCUCUCGAUUCUCAGUUUCUGCUAUAUUCCCAACUCUAGCCUUCUGUCUUCAAAACGCUGAUUUUUCUCGCCCUCCAACCUUCCAUCUUUCUCUCAGGAAUUAUCGACAACGGUGCAAUUAGAUCUGAUUCAAUUUUUUACCCAGAAAAGUUGGCGUUUCCUGGCUCAGAUCCUCACCCUGUUCUUCGUCACCCAAACCCGCAGCCCCAUCUUCGAUAUAUACCGACGGAAACACCACGAAUUGAGGCGCAACACCAAUACUGUAACAAUUACAAGAAAAAAGAUCCAAACCCGCAAAGGUUGUGUUUGUACUGGGACAACAUUUUCCACCUUCUGUUUGCACUGGGAUGACUGUGUUUUAAAAUUGUUGAGGGUUGGAUAUAAAAUGUUAAGGUGAGAUAAAAUCAAGAUGCCAACGGUGGAAGAAUGAUUUAGAACUGGGGGAGGAAAACAAAGGGAAGAUAGAAGAGUAUAAGAGAGGGAUAGGGUAGACCUCAUUUAGAGGUUUUUUUUUUAAUCGAUUCAAGACUUACAUGUAUCAUCAUCCUGUAUACUAAAACUCAGUUUUGAGUACUAUUGAUGACCAGUGGCUGGACCCAUUUGCCCCUCGCUUUCCUCUGUUUCCCUUGCUGUUUUCACAUUUGUACAGUUGAAUGGUUGUUUUGCCCCUCGCUUUUUUAUUAUAUUUUUUGUCUUUUAUGUUUUUCUGUGUUGGCACAAGGUUACACCAGUAUUAAACAACUACAAGUCCUCCAAAGGUUAGCUUAUUACCAUAUUUCAUCAAGUUUGAUAAAUAGAUCUUCAUUUUUUACUACAGUUAAAUACAUGGACAUGCCUCCACAAAUACAGAUUAGUUCUUGGUUUAAUACUUUGUGUUCAGUAAAGUUGACAUAGAAAAUCUUCCCAUUGUGCACUAAAAUCCUCCACACAUGAAAACAGAAAUUCUUACUCAAAAAACACAUAUUACAAUACUGCUGUAUCUGUUGUUUUUUUAUUAAAUUAACGCACUGUUUUCAAUUUUAUAUCCAACACAAAAGAAAAUGCUCUUACACAAUGUGGUUACUUACAUUUUUUAACUUAUCUACCACAUGUUAAUCUGAGUUAUAUAAACAGGAAAACAACAGUUCAAUAGAAAUAUGAUGCAUAUCAUUUAGUUAACAAUGGUGGCAGCUAAACAAUCAAACAGUUUGUUUCAAUUAGUUAGUACAUUUUAUAAAUUUCUCAAUCAGAACUGUUUCAGUGUAUUCAAUACAUUUUUUAAGCACCUUUCCAGUUAGUUGUCCAAACUAAUUAUUCCAGCUUAUUCACCGUAUAAUACCAACAAUUUAACGACCAAUGAUACUUCAUUUAACAUAGACUCCAUUUGGAAAAAGCAAAAUAAAUCUUUUUCUCUGCUGAAAAACCAACAGAUAUAAUGAUGUAGAUCAGUUAUAUCAACAAAUUACCAUAGUUCACCCUAAAUGCUGUACAAGUUUGGCUGCUCUUAUUUUUCCUCAUUAUUCCAUCGGUGAUUUGUAUUUUCUGUUAUUAACCAUUCUUGACUAAUAAGUCUUUUUCAAGACUAAUUGUGUUCGGCUUUUUUUUUUUUCAAUCUUUGUACUGUAUGGUUUUCUAUCAUAUAAUUACAGUUUAAUCUGAUUACAAGUUUAAAUAUACUUUUUC